rnacentral:rRNA from 1 species
GAUGAACGCUGGCGGCGUGCCUAAUACAUGCAAGUCGAGCGAACGGACGAGAAGCUUGCUUCUCUGAUGUUAGCGGCGGACGGGUGAGUAACACGUGGAUAACCUACCUAUAAGACUGGGAUAACUUCGGGAAACCGGAGCUAAUACCGGAUAAUAUUUUGAACCGCAUGGUUCAAAAGUGAAAGACGGUCUUGCUGUCACUUAUAGAUGGAUCCGCGCUGCAUUAGCUAGUUGGUAAGGUAACGGCUUACCAAGGCAACGAUGCAUAGCCGACCUGAGAGGGUGAUCGGCCACACUGGAACUGAGACACGGUCCAGACUCCUACGGGAGGCAGCAGUAGGGAAUCUUCCGCAAUGGACGAAAGCCUGACGGAGCAACGCCGCGUGAGUGAUGAAGGUCUUCGGAUCGUAAAACUCUGUUAUUAGGGAAGAACAUAUGUGUAAGUAACUGUGCACAUCUGGACGGUACCUAAUCAGAAAGCCACGGCUAACUACGU